CUGGCCAGACUGAGAGGAGAGACGGUUCACAGAGAUGUUUCUGAAGGUGCUAUAAACCGUUGUCUCCCUGAGGAUAGCAGUUUAGUGUAGCGUCAGUCGGACCAAUAAACAUUCCCGUGCUGCUGGGGAGACCCAGGUGUAAGAAGUAGGGUCAGGAUGUAAGGAAAGGAAGAAUCAAGCUUUGUGAUGAAAGAUGCUCAGCACAGGACACGUGAGGGAAGUGCUGAGAACGGGAGGGGGAAAUGUGUCAGUGCAGAACCGGGCAGGCGUUCAGUAACAGUGACGGAAGGAGUGGCUGCAGUGACAGCUUUGCACCUGCUGUGCUUCUGCAGCCGUGUGCAGUGUGUCUUGAGCGGUGAGAUGAUGUGUGUGAGUGUGCAGUGCAGAUAACCUGGACUGGGGCAGGUUAUUUAACAGCAUACCCAGCAUUGUGUCUUCUCUGAUGGAACAAUUUGUAACUCAUAGGAUAAGACUUGAAGAAUGUCAUGGGCAAAUGCGGGAAGCAGAGAUCAUUUGGAGACACCAGGUAACCUGCCUUCCUCCUGACACACCGAGUCCUCAGCACCUGAUGCAGACAGUUAUUGUGGCCCUGAGAACCCCUAGCCAUGGGGUGUUUCUUGAUGUGUUGACUUUUUCAGGUCACUCUUGCCGAGAAGAAGGCCCAAGACAGCUCACUCAGGGCUCAGGAGCUGGAGAGGGAAAUCUCUGAAUUGAGAAGGGAAAACUCUGACAUGAGAAGGGAAAACUCCUCUGAGCUGAGAAGGGAAGUUGCCCACCUGAAACAGAGAUUGGAUGCAAUCUGCAGACGGAGGCAGGCAGAGGAAUACAUGAGGCAGGAUCCCACUCCAGGAGGACCGUACAGGCUGCACCCUCCCCUGAGAGGUAAGGAGC